rnacentral:rRNA from 1 species
UAUUGCACAAUGGGGGAAACCCUGAUGCAGCGACGCCGCGUGAAGGAAGAAGGCUUUCGGGUUGUAAACUUCUUUUAUCAGGGACGAAANCAAUGACGGUACCUGAUGAAUAAGCCACGGCUAACUACGUGCCAGCAGCCGCGGUAAUACGUAGGUGGCAAGCGUUAUCCGGAUUUACUGGGUGUAAAGGGCGUGUAGGCGGGACUGCAAGUCAGAUGUGAAAAUUAUGGGCUCAACCCAUAACCUGCAUUUGAAACUGUAGUUCUUGAGUGAUGGAGAGGCAGGCGGAAUUCCGUGUGUAGCGGUGAAAUGCGUAGAUAUACGGAGGAACACCAGUGGCGAAGGCGGCCUGCUGGACAUUAACUGACGCUGAGGCGCGAAAGCGUGGGGAGCAAACAG